GCAUCGGUGGUUUAGUGGUAAAAUUAGCCGUUGCCACCUAUCAAAGGUCGAUUCGGCUAGCCCCGGGUUCGAUUCCCGGCCGAUGCA